UACGUAGGGUGCGAGCGUUGUCCGGAAUCAUUGGGCGUAAAGAGCGUGUAGGCGGCUUGGUAAGUCCGCUGUGAAAGUCCAGGGCUCAACCCUGGAAUGCCGGUGGAAACUGUCAGGCUCGAGUCCGGAAGAGGCGAGUGGAAUUCCUGGUGUAGCGGUGAAAUGCGCAGAUAUCAGGAAGAACACCCGUGGCUAAGGCGGCUCUCUAGUACGGUACUGACGCUGAGACGCGAAAGCGUGGGGAGCGAACAGG
rnacentral:rRNA from 1 species